GAUGGUUUGGCGAGAGCCCUGGGCGGAGGGCGUUCUCAGUAAAUAACAGGCUGCUCAAGUCACACAACAUGUGGGGGAGCCCAGUGAGCUCCCAGCUGUGAGGACACACGAUACCCAGGUAACGCAACACAGCUGAGCAGGAGAGCCUCGCGGUGUAAAUGAAGGGGACGGACGGUUGUUAGGUGUGGCAACAACUGAAAGGAAAGCUAUCAAUGAACAGGAACUUAUGAAGGAAACAAAGCCAGGAAUUCGGGAAAAUAACGGGGAGUGAAGACCCUGUGGUAUGCGUAGGAAUCGAUCCUCUCCUCCUCUCUCGCUUCCCUCGUAAGAAAAAUCCUGAAGAGAGCACGCGAGUGAGCUUCAGUUAUUUGCACAAGUCACGCCCGCGCGCGCGGAAACCAUUUUGGGAGAAUGUGCUGCACGAGUGCGACGACGAGGAGCUGCGGUCUGCGUCUUUGAAGGACUAACCGUUCGCGACCAGGAGCUGAGAAUGGAAGAAAAGAGAAGCUGUGAAGAAGAUCACAGUGAAAGAGUUCGGACUGACAAUCGCACACUUGCACAUGAUUGAUGAUUGCCUCCAACGGACUGGCCAUGAGGUUACCAAUGUGAACUUUUUUUAAUGAACCGUCGCCUUUUUUUUUCUUUAUGUCCAAUAUCAGCCGGGAAGAAUUUUUAUUGGAAUCACCACAAAACAAGCAGCAACUUAUAAGCAGCACUUUAGACGCCGGGGACUGAUGCGAUUGGUGCAACGGGGUUGUUUUCCCGAGAGGCGUCCCUGAAAUUUAGCAAAUGUGCCCUUGCCAAGCUCCUAGAAGGUAGCACUUGGAAGCCUUUCGUAGGGUCAUGG